UCAACCUAUUUAACGACAUGACUCAAAUGACAAGUCAACAAAAACUUUGUCAUUUAUUUAGAAAGUCAACAAAAACUUUACGAUUUAUUUGUUUUCCGUGUAGUUCAAGAUUAAAUCGUCCCAAAUUUGAAAGUUCAUGAUUUUUUUGACAUUACAAGACAUAACAUUUUUUCCUUACUUUAAACUUGGUAAUUCCGGUCCUUCUGUGAAAGAUUCAAGUGUGA
rnacentral:sRNA from 1 species